rnacentral:rRNA from 1 species
UACGAAGGGGGCUAGCGUUGCUCGGAAUCACUGGGCGUAAAGGGUGCGUAGGCGGGUCUUUAAGUCAGGGGUGAAAUCCUGGAGCUCAACUCCAGAACUGCCUUUGAUACUGAAGAUCUUGAGUCCGGGAGAGGUGAGUGGAACUGCGAGUGUAGCGGUGAAAUGCGCAGAUAUCAGGAAGAACACCCGUGGCGAAAGCGGCUCUCUGGAACGGUACUGACGCUGAGACGCGAAAGCGUGGGGAGCGAACAGG